rnacentral:tRNA from 1 species
GACUCCAUAACUCAGUCGGUAGAGUACGCGCCUUUUAAGCGCCGUUGCGUUGGUUCAAAUCCAACUGGGGUCA